rnacentral:rRNA from 1 species
UCGGGAAUUUUGGGCAAUGGGCGAAAGCCUGACCCAGCAACGCCGCGUGAAGGAUGAAGUAUUUCGGUAUGUAAACUUCGAAAGAAUAGGAAGAAUAAAUGACGGUACUAUUUAUAAGCUCCGGCUAACUACGUGCCAGCAGCCGCGGUAAUACGUAGGGAGCAAGCGUUGUUCGGAUUUACUGGGCGUAAAGGGCGCGUAGGCGGCGCGGUAAGUCACUUGUGAAAUCUCUGAGCUUAACUCAGAACGGCCAAGUGAUACUGCAGUGCUAGAGUGCAGAAGGGGCAAUCGGAAUUCUUGGUGUAGCGGUGAAAUGCGUAGAUAUCGGAAGGAACAUCAGUGGCGAAGGCGUCUACCUGGCCUAAUACUGACACUGAGGCACGAAAGCGUGGGGAGCAAACAGGAUUAGAUACCCAGGUAGUCCUGAGCGGGCUGGCAAGGCGCAU